rnacentral:rRNA from 1 species
CCUACGGGCGUCAGCAGUGAGGAAUAUUGGUCAAUGGACGAGAGUCUGAACCAGCCAAGUCGCGUGAAGGAUGACUGCCCUAUGGGUUGUAAACUUCUUUUAUCUGGGAAUAAAGUGUUCCACGUGUGGGAUUUUGUAUGUACCAUAUGAAUAAGCAUCGGCUAACUCCGUGCCAGCAGCCGCGGUAAUACGGAGGAUCCGAGCGUUAUCCGGAUUUGUUGGGGUUAAAGGGAGCGUAGGGGGAUUGUUCAGUCAGUUGUGAAAGUGUGGGGCUCAACCGUAACCUAGCAGUUGAUACUGGCAGUAUUGAGUACAGUAGAGGUGGGCGGAAUGCGUGGUGUAGCGGUGAAAUGCUUAGAUAUCACGAAGAACUCCGAUUGCGAAGGCAGCUCACUGGACUGCAAAUGACACUGAGGCUCGAAAGUGUGGGUAUCAAACAGGAUUAGAUACCCGAGUAGUC